rnacentral:rRNA from 1 species
UAAAGGAAUUGGCGGGGGAGCACUACAAGGGGUGGAGCGUGCGGUUUAAUUGGAUUCAACGCCGGGAACCUCACCGGGGGCGACGGCAGGAUGAAGGCCAGGCUGAAGGUCUUGCCGGACACGCCGAGAGGAGGUGCAUGGCCGCCGUCAGCUCGUACCGUGAGGCGUCCACUUAAGUGUGGUAACGAGCGAGACCCGCGCCCCCAGUCGCCAGCCCUUCCCGUUGGGAAGGGGGCACUCUGGGGGGACCGCCGGCGAUAAGCCGGAGGAAGGAGCGGGCGACGGUAGGUCAGUAUGCCCCGAAACCCCCGGGCUACACGCGCGCUACAAUGAGCGGGACAAUGGGAUCCGACCCCGAAAGGGGAAGGGAAUCCCCUAAACCCGCUCCCAGUUCGGAUCGCGGGCUGCAACUCGCCCGCGUGAAGCUGGAAUCCCUAGUACCCGCGUGUCAUCAUCGCGCGGCGAAUACGUCCCUGCUCCUUGCACACACCGCCA